rnacentral:rRNA from 1 species
AUUGAACGCUGGCGGCAUGCCUAAUACAUGCAAGUCGAACGAGUGGCGGACGGGUGAGUAAUGUAUGGGAAACUGCCCGAUGGCGGGGGAUAACUACUGGAAACGGUAGCCAAUACCGCAUACUACCAGAUGCGCCCUGAUGGGUUUAGCUUGUUGGUGGGGUAAAGGCUCACCAAGGCGACGAUCCCUAGCUAGUCUGAGAGGGUGACCGGCCACACUGGAACUGAGACACGGUCCAGACUCCUACGGGAGGCAGCAGUGGGGAAUAUUGGACAAUGGGCGCAAGCCUGAUGCAGCCAUGCCGCGUGUAUGAGGAGGGCCUUCGGGUUGUAAGGUACUUUCAGCAGGGAGGCGGUACCGGCAGAAUAAGCACCGGCUAACUACGUGCCAGCAGCCGCGGUAAUAC